rnacentral:rRNA from 1 species
GACGAACGCUGGCGGCGUGCUUAACACAUGCAAGUCGAACGGAAAGGCCCUGCGUUUGUGGGGUGCUCGAGUGGCGAACGGGUGAGUAACACGUGAGUAACCUGCCCUUGACUUUGGGAUAACUUCAGGAAACUGGGGCGAAUACCGGAUAGGAGCUCCUGCUGCAUGGGGGGGGUUGGAAAGUUUCGGCGGUUGGGGCUGGACUCGCGGCUUAUCAGCUUGUUGGUGGGGUAGUCGCUUCCCACGGCUUUGACGGGUAGCCGGCCUGAGAGGGUGACCGGCCACCAUGCGCCUGCGAUACGCCCCAGUCUCCUACGGGACGCAGCAGUCGGGAAUCUUGCACAAUGAGCGGACGCCUGAUGCGGCAGCGCCGCGUGCGGGAUGCCGGCCUUCGGGUUGUAAACCGCUUUCGCCUGUGACGAAGCGUGAGUGACGGUAAUGGGUAAAGAAGCACCGGCUAACUACGUG